rnacentral:rRNA from 1 species
UGAGUAGGUGGUAGAUUAAGUUACAUGUGAAAUCUUUGAGCUUAACUUGGAAAGUGCAUGUAAUACUGAACUACUAGAGUACUGUAGAGGGCGAUGGAAUUUCCGGUGUAGCAGUGAAAUGCGUAGAUAUCGGAAGGAACACCAGUGGCGAAGGCGAUCGCCUGGACAGAUACUGACACUGAUACACGAAAGCGUGGGGAGCAAACA